rnacentral:rRNA from 1 species
AGUGAACGCUGGCGGCGUGCCUAAUACAUGCAAGUCGAACGGAGAUUAAGUAGCUUGCUAUUUAAUCUUAGUGGCGCACGGGUGAGUAAUAUAUAGCUAACUUGCCCAUUACUAAGGGACAACAGUUGGAAACGACUGCUAAUACCUUAUACUCCGUAUCUAUAUAAGUAGAUACGGGAAAGUUUUUCGGUAAUGGAUAGGGCUAUAUCGUAUCAGCUAGUUGGUAAGGUAAUGGCUUACCAAGGCUAUGACGCGUAACUGGUCUGAGAGGAUGAUCAGUCACACUGGAACUGAGACACGGUCCAGACUCCUACGGGAGGCAGCAGUAGGGAAUAUUGCUCAAUGAGGGAAACCCUGAAGCAGCAACGCCGCGUGGAGGAUGACACUUUUCGGAGCGUAAACUCCUUUUCUUGGGAAAGAAUUAUGACGGUACCCAAGGAAUAAGCACCGGCUAACUCCGUG